ACCGCCGCGCGCGCCGCUCUGAACUGUGGCCGCCUCCAUAUUGUCUAGUACCUUUGUUUCACUCGCACAUCGUGCAGCUCAUCACCGCCAGAUGUCACGCGCCUCUCACCGCUCCUCGUAACGCACCGCAAAACGCACCGCCAGUAGCUGUGGCAUACUUCAUAGGUUGUGUACCAUUUGUUUUCGCCGCUCCCGCUUGCCGCGCCUCACGACGCACCGCAAUUCGCACCGCUCUCGGCUGUGGCCAAGGGGUACAUACAACAAAAUGAAGACAUAUUCAACUGAAAAUCGGUACAAACUAUUCUACAAAAUUAUAUUUAAAAGUACACACAGGAAAAUGGUAUGCUCUCCAACAUAAAUGAAUAGUUACAACAAUAUUCACAUGAAUACUACCCACUUUUGAGUUUUGGUUAUAUUCUCUGAAUAGUUUCUUUUAUUAAUGUAUUCCUUAUUGUGAAAAUAAAUAAAUAAAA